rnacentral:rRNA from 1 species
UACGUAGGGUGCAAGCGUUGUCCGGAAUUAUUGGGCGUAAAGAGCUCGUAGGCGGCUUGUCGCGUCGUUCGUGAAAACCCGGGGCUCAACCCCGGGCUUGCGGGCGAUACGGGCAGGCUAGAGUUCGGUAGGGGAGACUGGAAUUCCUGGUGUAGCGGUGAAAUGCGCAGAUAUCAGGAGGAACACCGGUGGCGAAGGCGGGUCUCUGGGCCGAUACUGACGCUGAGGAGCGAAAGCGUGGGGAGCGAACAGG